AUAUAAAACUAUAUUAUAGUCAUUAUUGUUUUGUAUCCCAGACCCGUUAGAAAAGAAACACCUGAAUUCAACGUGUCCACAUACUUUUGUCCCUUUGUGUCUGAGUUAGGCAACUAUGCUACGAGGCUAACGAUAUCAUCCUUUUCCAACAUACACUGACUUCUAUCUGCUUCCCUGCAUAUUGAAAAAUGGCAUCAUAACGCUACACCAGAUUUCCCAGGUUGAUGACUGAAUGGCAGAAUGUGACAAUGGUUAAGCGUGUGUGUGUGUGUGUGUGUGUGUGGGGGGGUCAUCUGCAGUCUACACCUUUGUGUUUAUUGGGUUGCAGUGAAUAUGCGAACUCUGUUGGUCCGAGCCACAUGUUGAGCUCCAUCCCCUGGUUUGUUUCAUCACAUUAGUCCAGGACAACUUGUCCACUAAUUCUUGAGGCCAGUAUUCCUUCAUUUGCUCAGUGUUUACCGCUGUCUGUGCAAACAUUUCACUCAAACCAUGAAGACUCUCAGCUCCAGACUCCAAUCUAGUUUCGUAUGAGACUGUAGGCCUUUGCUUUUUUGCAUUUCUAGAUACUGUAGUUGCAAUGAAAAUGAAAACUUAUUUUUUUAAAAGAAACCUUUAAAUCGCUGGCUAUAUCUUUAAAGUCUACUGUGCACAUCAUACCGCCGUGCACUGAUAUAGGAUGCCUGGUAACAGUUCUGUGUUUGUAGAAAAUACCACUGUACCUUCUCAGGUGAACUGACUUAGCUUAACGCAUGCUCCUGAGGAAGACACUGAUGCUGACCGCAUGCUAGACGUUUUCUUUCAGAAUGCUCUUUUCAUUUUGUAUGCAUGAAGUACAUGGAAGUGAUUUCUUUCUCUCCCACUAACAUAUACAAUGACAUGUAUCAUGAAGUUUCCUUGCAACAUUUCUAAGAUGCACUUUUAAAGUCUUUACAUACAGUGUGUAUAUAUUCUGCAUACAUUCUACACAAAAUGCUUUUUCUUCAUACAAUGAGGACGUGUGCAAAGCAGAGAAACAAGUGUAACAAACUACACAUAGUCUCUUCACUUAAAAUAUAAUGAUACUUUGGACACGCUUGAAUUCAUUGCUACAACUGGCUAAUUCUAGGAAUGUUCUGUAAACGUUUUCUAAGUAUGACUUCUGAAAGUACUGCUAAGACUUUGCAGAAACUCCAACCUAUCCAUAUACUGUUACUGAACACUUUCUGGAUGUAGGACCUGUUUGUCUACACGUAUUAUUGACCAUCAUUCAUCACAGACUAUACAUUAAGAUGGACAUCAUCAUGCUCUUCAAAUGUGAAGCCAAAGUGUCUUCAUCUCCCCCUGGUGGUUAAUGUCAUUAUCUAACCCUCAGUGCUCAGUUGUACUUCAAUCAAACUGAAAAACAAAAGUCCAAUAAACUUUCCCCCUAACAUGUUUUCAGAUUUUAUACAUAGGUUUGUGAUCAUUUGUUCAAUUGUUCUGACCAUAAAAUUUUUUUAUUAUUAAAUGGUCAGGAACCAAUCAUGCAGCCGGCUGCAUCUCCUGUUGUUUUGUCUCCUCUGUACAGACAACAUGGCAGGGCCUGGAACCACAGGAUUUGGACUUAAUUUUUACAUUUGUUUUUUUUCCACAGUUCAAAGUCCAUCUUUAUAUUCUUUCUUUCUUUCUUUCUUUCUUUCUUUCUCUCUAUUCAUCUCCCCUUUUUUGGAUUCUUUCCUACUUUCGUUGAUUGUUCUGAUUAUCAAAGUUGAUCACAUCUCAUUUUUUCAUGUUCCAUCUGCUGAGUUACAUGAUUGGCUGACUGCUCCACAGGGACAGCCAAUCACACCGCUGUUUCUGCCCUAUUUCCACAGGCUGAAGGAAACAUUAUACUGGUGUUAGAAAAAAAAAAAAACACUAUCUCUGAAAUAACAGAGACACAAACAGAAAUGGCUUUGUGAAGCUAAGGCUAAAGCAGCUCAUUGUCUUCAAGCAAAUAACUAAUAAUACUUCUAUAGUUUCAUCACGUAUUCUGUCUGUAUUUAUCCAUUUGAUAUCAAAAUCUGUUUGGAAAAACUGUCUGAUAGGUUGGAGUUCACAAAGCCUCUCAGUACUUCCAUAUGUAUAUUUCUUUCCUCACUCCUUUAAUUGAAGAUGUACAAAGGCCAUUUGUUUGAGUUUAUUUAGCAAUACUUCAUUCAUAUAUGGAUAAAAUAUUUUGACGGUUGAACUUAGAAAUGAUAUCCUUUAUAUACAGUGAUUCAUUUAUUGAGACACAUAUUAUAAUGCAUAUUAUUCCUGUAUAAUCACCAGGACAGCAUUAGCACCUGUCAGACGUACUAUAUCAGAGUAAUCUUUUCAAAUAAACUCUUGUUAUAUAUUCUA